GCUCCCUUAGCUCAGCUGGAUAGAGCAUCUGACUACGAAUCAGAAGGUCGGGCGUUCGAAUCGCUCAGGGAGCGCCA
rnacentral:tRNA from 1 species